GGUGUUGUGAGCCUGGAACCAUCUAGAGAGCUGUGACUGUUUAGAUGGUCGUGUGGGGUAUGCGCACACAGCCUCAGCAGUCACUGCUUUUUAGAUGUUUCUCUGUUAUGGCAUCAUU
rnacentral:precursor_RNA from 15 species